rnacentral:misc_RNA from 1 species
AAAAAAAAAAAAAACUGACAGAAGAAAACUGGGUACACAACUCAAUUAACCCUCAACAUAUAUAACUGGGUAUUUCCUAUCAUUUUAAAAUGGCAUCUGCAAUUCCAAGCAUUUCCAGUUUUGCUCCAGUUCAUGAAAGAAUCCAGAAACAACUUUACCCAUGACCUGAUCUGAACCUUAGAACCUUACCCUUCAAGGGACAGAGACAUAUAGAUAACACAACAACUACAACAAAGCCUUAAUCCCAAAUAAGUUAGGGACGGCAGAUAAAUAGAUAACACGUGGAUAGAAAUCCUAGAGGCAGCUUGAAUAUCAGCAAAUGGUUUCCACACCAUGCAUGAUCAAAUUUAUCAAAUUUACAAGGCAAUGCUACAUACAACUCUAAGAUGGCUGGAAAGAAAAAGCAAGAAAU